rnacentral:rRNA from 1 species
AGCAGCCGCGGUAAUUCCAGCUCCAAUAGCGUAUAUUAAAGUUGUUGCAGUUAAAAAGCUCGUAGUUGAAUUUCGGGAUUCUACCGUUGGUCGGGCUAACAAGUCUGUACUGGUGUGUAGAAUUUCUACCUUCUGGGGAACUAUCAUGUUAUUAAUUUAGCGUGGUGGGAAACCAGGACCUUUACCUUGAAAAAAUUAGAGUGUUCAAAGCAGGCUUACGUCUGAAUACAUUAGCAUGGAAUAAUAGAAUAGGACGGUGGUCCUGUUUUGUUGGUUUCUGAAUCACCGUAAUGAUUAAUAGGGAUAGUUGGGGGCAUUAGUAUUCAAUUGUCAGAGGUGAAAUUCUUGGAUUUAUUGAAGACUAACUUCUGCGAAAGCAUUUGCCAAGGAUGUUUUCAUUAAUCAAGAACGAAAGUUAGGGGAUCGAAGACGAUCAGAUACCGUCGUAGUCUUAACCAUAAACUAUGCCGACUAGGGACCGGACGAUGUUAAAUUAUUGACUCG